UCCAUUUCUCUCCCAUCUUCUUCCUCCGGCCGGGCCAACAAAAACAGAGCCGAGCCGAGGUCUCGCUGCCCGCCGCCCAAAUCCUCCCUACUACCUCCACCAAAAUCAAAUCACCUCCACCCGCAACUCCCUCAAUUACCUAGAUCCACCCUCAGCCUCUCCUUACCUCCGGCCAUGGCUCCUGCGGUCGGGGAUUGAAGUUUCCCCGCCCACCGUGCGCCGCGAGCCGCCGCCGGCCACCCACACGUCGACAACACCCUCCGGCCUUCCUCGUACUCAAAAAACUACACAAAACGAACCAUGGUCAGGUCCUGGUGCUUGUGCUCUCAUUCUUGCGCCGUCUUAGUCUACUUUCCACGCUCGAUUUUGUGCUCGCCACCGGCCGUGCGCCGCCACUCACCGCGGAUAGGUCUAGGGUUGGGUUUCGCGGAGAUAGGAGAGGGAGUAGGUGCGCUUAGGUGUGGGGAACAUUCUGGGGUAGUCUCCGGGGUGGGGCCCGCAGCCUUUGCGCUGGCGUGGCCACGCCACCGUCGCCGCCAGGCAUGCUCGGACCGGCCCAAGGAAGAAGAAAGGGGCAGGGGUCGUCUUGCGAGGAAAUAGAAAGUACAGGGGGUUAUGGGUAAAAUUUUGGGUUUAAGUGCGAGGUGAGUUUUGCUCUAGGGUCUUAAGAGCAAAUAAUAUAGGGCUGUUUUGCGAGGAAAAGGUUAGAUAUGUUAGUAAAGAAUAUUUAUAGGGGUCUCAGUGUAAAUAUAGUUUAGUUAUUUUGUCUUCAAAUCGGCUGAAACUUUGGAAAUGUAUAUCAAAUCGUAGAAAAUGAGGAAAAUAUAAACUAAACUUUGUUAGCUUCCGGUUGAUGUCUACUUUCUUUUAAAAAUGGCUUUGAGCAUGUCAUUGUUGUUUUUUUUAAUCCUAUAAUUUAUCUUGUUCUGAACUUGUUUAAUGCAUAGUAAAUUAUAGGUUGCUCCAAAAAUUGUGAAACUAAUUUUGUUAUCUUCCUUGAGUCAUUUAGAUUUCAUAUAUGUAACUUAUACAUGUGAUAUAUGUGGUUCUCAUUCUGUUUUGGAGCUAUCUUUCGUUUGCUAUAUGAAUCUUGGUAAUCGCAUAAUAAAUGGUAGAAAAAUGAUAAAAUGAUGAGACCACUUUUGUUGGUCUUGUUAUGAUCUGCAUCAAGUAUGAAGAAUGUUAGAUCCAGUGAUAUGGCUAUUCUACACUUAGUAAGAAUCAAAACACAAAUAAAAUAGUUUAAUGUACAUAAAUAAAUGCGGUUACCCAAAAAUGAUGGUAAAUUCCUGUAAAAUCCUUCAUCAAUGAUUUUAUCAGUUGCGACUUGUUCCACACCAGAUUGCAUACAUAAAUCAAUUUAGUGAAUUUUCUUGUUCCUAGCUAUAGUUAACUUUGAUCAUAAUAAAACAGGUUUGGAUGUGCUUUUUGUUUUUUUUAAUUCCUGUAAAGUGCACCUUGCAUUGUAAUGCUAACAACUCAGAUUUAGAUCUGUGAGUUGAUAGAAAGAAUGGUCGUCUCCUUCUAUUCUAUGUUAAUGUUCUUCUUUUUGUAAUAUGUGCAUCAUCUAAUCUUGCAUCGCAUGUGCAUUCAUGUAGAAAACACGGCUAGUGACGUGGUGUACGAGCUGGUGGUUGAACAACAGGAGGAGCAGCAAGACCCGGCCCAAGGUUCGGAAGAGCAAAUCGCUGAGCAGUAGGAAGGCAAGCUCUGGAGCAUGCCCCUAUUUCAACUUAUGCAAUUAAUGUUUAUCUAUAUAUUUGUGCAUUUAAGUUUCUAGGAGUUGAAUGAAGCUGUAGAUGCAUGAUCCAUAGGUUCCCAUGUGUUAUACUAGUAUGUGUAUGUCGUUAGCACUGCCAUGCUUAAUUAAGUUCGGUAGAAGUCAAGUGAUUUCCUAUCACUCGCGAGAUAUAAGGCCACUUGAUACUUAUGUUGAGUUCGGGAAAUGAUUCACAUGGUAAAGAUGACAACCAGGCGGAGAUGAUAAUGUUUAUGUUAUGAUAGGGUUUUUGUAUAGCUCCGCAGUUAAGGGUUGUUGGUCCUGCUGAUCAAGUUUGAACAGUACUAAUCACAUGCUGGGAGUUGGAGGUAGUCGAAACUAGUAAACCUAGUACUUGAUCCGCUCCGGAGUUUGAACUCCUACCCAUCCUCUAGGGCAAGUCAAGUGGCCGCGGAGAAUUGGGUAUGUAUUUUUUUAGGUGGUCUCUCGUAGGGCUCAGCUGACUAGUGCUGGCGGGGUAGUUAAGACUUUCGAUGGUGAAGAUGGGAACGGAUGCCAUGUGCGGCUCGAUGACGCAUGCAUGUGUCGUGUGGUUAGGUUUUCCUUGCAAGGAUUUAAUCAAAUCGAUUCGCCGCCACUCUCAGAUAAGAGGAUCUUGAUCACUGAGUCACAUCGUAGUAAAGGAGUGGAACAAGGAUGAUGAUAAUUAUUGUUGUUUGCUUAAUGCAUUGCUUUCCACAAUAAAUUGUUGUAUUUAUGCAAACCUAGAAAAUACGUACUCUCAUUUUAACUCGACUAAAAUAUUAAAAGUAAGGAUCCACUCUUAGUUAUUUUUUGGCAAACAAAUCUCAGAGCUAAAAACCCUGCAUUCUAGGAGUCGACAAAGUAUAUACCACUAGUCAGGUAAGCCUUGCUGAGUUCUAGUUGCUCAAGGUUCGUUGCUUAAUUUAUUUCAGGUCCUGAUGAUAUAGAUUUCUGUCCUUACUGCGUUAAGUUUAUUCGCCAUGAUGCCGAUGGUUGGGAAGUUGCUGGAUCGGGUGCUUGUCGCUUGUUAUCCUUAGAUUACACACUUGUGGGCUGAAGUGUGUGAUCUACCAUACACACUUCGUGUAUCGUAGUUUCAGUUUUAAAUAAUGGCAGAUUUAUUUUAAUUCUAGUUAAACUCUACAACUAUUUAUAUAUUCGAACUUGGCUUGUAAAACUUAAUGUACCGUAUUUUGAUUUGUAAUCGUAUGUGUAUAAACUUCAUCAUGUAUGUACUAUCUGUGCU
rnacentral:lncRNA from 1 species